rnacentral:lncRNA from 1 species
GCGCUUGAAUAGAGCCCAUCGUCAUAAUCGGAGAGGACACCGAUUGUGAAGAGGGAAGCGACCCAAUUUGUUCUUCUGGUUGGCGAGCUAAAGUAUAUUGCGAUUGCUUAUCCUGGUAAUCCAUUGUCGUCCUAGCUGCCCAUGCCCUAGCCUUGGCUGGCCAAUCUUGUUCACUGUUCUGGGCUGGGUAUUCCCAGUCUUGGUUAUUCGACCAACUUUGAGCUCCCCACUCCUGAUUGAGCUGCGGAGGAUGAUAAGAUUGAGGAUUAUAAUGGUGCGCAUAAUGAGGAGAAGGAGGCGACGGGGACUCUGAUGAGUGGUACCGGUACUGGUUCAAGUACCACGCGCCUUGCUGCUGAUAGUGGUAGGGAACCGAAAUGGUCGGUAGUGGUGGUGGUGGCGGCGGCGGCCUCAUGUAAUGCUGUUGUUGUGGUCCGUAGGAAUCCAUGGUCUCGAAUUGCAGCACCUGAGAGAUAGGUUGAAUCACUGAUGGAGAUAUGAUUGGUACUGGAGAAGUCGACUAAGAAUCGAUUUGAAGCACCGAAGGCUCAAUCACCUGAGCUGUUCGCCCCAGUCUCAGUUGUCUCAACUCGUUUAAUAUCUCAGACUGGAAUAAAGUCUGUUCCGUCGCCAUCGACGCCAUAGAUUUGUGAAGUUCACUGAAUUCCGCCGCUGUCUCACAAAAUCUCGCCGCUGUCACCUCUAACUCGACUUGGAGCUUCAUCAUCAAAUUACCUGGGUCAGGCGGACGCGGCGGUGUUGAUGAAUAUUGUGGCGGAUCUCCAGCUUUCCUCGGCCCCAUGAUUUGGAGCUCUGAUAUCAGUUGUUAGGGUCCUAACCCUAAG